rnacentral:rRNA from 1 species
AGCCUGAUGCAGCGACGCCGCGUGAGGGAUGACGGCCUUCGGGUUGUAAACCUCUUUCAGUAGGGAAGAAGCGUAAGUGACGGUACCUGCAGAAGAAGCGCCGGCUAACUACGUGCCAGCAGCCGCGGUAAUACGUAGGGCGCAAGCGUUAUCCGGAAUUAUUGGGCGUAAAGAGCUCGUAGGCGGUUUGUCGCGUCUGCCGUGAAAGUCCGGGGCUCAACUCCGGAUCUGCGGUGGGUACGGGCAGACUAGAGUGAUGUAGGGGAGACUGGAAUUCCUGGUGUAGCGGUGAAAUGCGCAGAUAUCAGGAGGAACACCGAUGGCGAAGGCAGGUCUCUGGGCAUUAACUGACGCUGAGGAGCGAAAGCAUGGGGAGCGAACAGGAUUAGAUACCCUGGUAGUCCAUGCCGUAAACGUUGGGCACUAGGUGUGGGGGACAUUCCACGUUUUCCGCGCCGUAGCUAACGCAUUAAGUGCCCCGCCUGGGGAGUACGGCCGCAAGGCUAAAACUCAAAGGAAUUGACGGGGGCCCGCACAAGCGGCGGAGCAUGCGGAUUAAUUCGAUGCAACGCGAAGAACCUUACCAAGGCUUGACAUGAACCGGAACGCCUGGAAACAGGUGCCCCACUUGUGGU